rnacentral:lncRNA from 1 species
UGCCCAGAUACCGAACUUUGCACAUGCAAUUUUAAAAAUACCUCCCCCUACUGCAAAAUGUGCAGAGUUCGAUGGAAAGCUAUGUAAAAGGAUAGAGCGAGGAGAGGCCAGUGUGAUGGGGAGAGGUUAAAGAUAGGGCUCGCUCCGCGCUAGCAUUUGCUAGAAGCCACACUUCGGUACCGGCCGAGGGAGUGAGCCCAAAGAAAAGGAAGGGAGGAAAAGAGAGGAGCAAGAGUCAGCAGGCCAGAAGCUGGGCGCAGCAAAGCGAGUGCGGGGAACCCGGGGUUAAACGGAACGACUCCUCCCUCCCCCACCUCCGCCGGAGUCCGAGUGCCGCUUGGUUUUUCCGGUCUCUCGGCGGUCCCAUUGGGCGCGUUGGCCCUUUGAGCCAUGGGCUCCAGGUCCAGACGCGGCAGCGGUGACCACAGCUGGCCGGGCGGCCAGGCGCCACCCCCUAGGCUUUGAGGGCGGAAGAGUCCGCCCUUCGGCGGCGAAGGUGGCCGCUGCCGCCCACGCGGGCUCCCGGAGACCCGGGACCGUCGGAGCAGGUUUGACCCCACACGCCACCUCAACAUCGAACCCCGCCUGUCCAGGGACCCCGACAACCAACCACAAAAGUUACCCCCUCCAGAGGACCCGCCCACCGACACCCUGCUCUGUCCAUACACCAGAGGCUGGUCAGUCUACACACAUGGAAGCUUGAGGACUGCAGCCCUGCUCCAGGCGCAAACCCGAGAGCCUCUGGUCAACGCCCGGGGAAGCCUGGAGAACUCAACAAGGGACACCUGGGACCAGGGUCCCACCGUCACCCUGCUCCGUUGCCAUGGCCAUGCAGAAAAUCUUCGCCCGGGAAAUCCUGGACUCCAGGGGCAACCCCACGGUGGAGGUGGACCUGCACACAGCCAAGGGU